GGGAUCGAUGUGCUCUCCACCAACUCUCAGCAAUUGAAGUUGUUGACAUAGGCUUAGGGUCUUCCUCGGAUAUUCUCAUUGAGUUGCAUUUUUCACUUUGAGACUUGUAUUGCUUGUUCAAACUCUUUUGGCCUCUAAUCCACAGCUACUAAUUGAUUGAAGAACAAUGAAGACAAAGUUGUGUUUUGCUCUUGAAGUGUUUCGGCAGUAGCUGCUAGCUAAGUUUAGGACUUAGAUUUAUUUUUGUAAAGCUGUAGCAGGAUGUUGAACUUAAGUAUGAUAUUUUGGCAUU